UGAAGCUGAAACUUAGUUGGCAUUGCCAGAAAUGCUACAAAACGUUCUUAAUGGACAGAAAUGUGCACGUGAGAGUGAUAAAUUAAAAUACCGUUCAGGGAACAUGAAGGAUGAGGAUGGCAUUGGAAUUUCUCUACAAGUUGGUUCCACUCUGCCCUGGUGUUUUCCUGCAGUCGACCAGCCGCACAGACACCCUCUUCAGAUCCAACAGUAAAGCGCUACCG